CUUUUUAAAUUCUCGGCAUAGUGUAAUGAUUACUAUUCCAAAACAGAAGAUAUGUUGGCAAACUGCCCUGUAUUUGAAAAUAGAGGAAAUGCCCUGGAAAGAAUGAGAUGUGGUAAAGAGAGGAAAUGACAAUGUACUGAAAAGACUGGGCUGUAAGUCAUCACAGCGGCGCCCUGAAACCCGAUAUGUCAGGCAAGCUGGUGGGAUCCUGGGAUCCCUCAUGUAACGGCACUCAUUCUGACAGAAGCAGAGAUAAAACAGACUAAGUACACAGAGGAGUUUAAGGUUUCGUGAAUGUAAGUGCUGAGUACAGAAUGGUGCUCAAUAAAAGCUUGUUAAUUGAUGGACCACAGGUUUGUGACAAGACUUCUCAGAGUCUGAUUCUUUCAAGGUGGGAUAUAAGAGUAAGUAAAUGGCAUGGGGAAAAUCUGAUUGCCACAGACAGAAGAAUGAAACUGGAUGCCUAUUUCUCACAAUACACAAAAGCGAUUCAAGAUUAAAGACUUAACUAUACCUUGACUAUGAAUAAUAGUUUCAAUAAGGAAGACAGAAUGAGUUCUGACACGAUGGUUGGGAGCUGUGACAGGCAGACGAAAAAUGGAGCCAAAUGGCAUGGAGGUGUCAUGAUGUUGGAACAGUAACAAUAACUCAACCAACCAGGGCUUGUCUGAAUACAAUCCUACAGCAGCAGGAGCUGUGGAGAUAUAGAAGGCAAGGAAGACCAGGUUGUGAGGGAAGACGAAUUUACUCCCAGGAAUGUUGGGAUUGAGAGUAAUAUUCUCCAAUAAUGGUGGAAGACAGAACAAUAAAAGCCCACCAGCUCCUUCUGCAUGGUGGGAUAAGAGAAAAGCCAAGGGCAGAAGUGAGAAAAAUAACCAUCACCAAACUGAAAAGAAAACCUUUAUAAAAAAACUGGAUUGAUAAAUGACCUUUAGUAGUGGAAAGAUACCAUUCCAAUGAAGCAUGAAUUGAAAGGAUUUCUUCUGAAAGCUAAUUUACAUUUUUCUUUUUUUUUUUUUCAUUUUCAGUGUGUUUUAGCAGGUGUAUUGUUCUACAUGGUUAGUUUCUUUACCUCUUUGAGAAAAAUGGGUCAGCUUGACACAUCUGGAUGAAAGAAUCCGUUAGGUGAUUAUGAUUGAAGACAGAUUAAGCCUUGUUAUGAGGGGAAUAUUUGGGGGCUUACCCUGAGGUGAUAUUUGAUGAUUUAGCUGUGGGAGAAUUUCCCUCCCAAGAUCAGCGUGACUGACACUGAAAUUGCUACAGGGGAACCGGACCUUUCCAAGAGGUGACAAGGACAUUUACCUGGUACAACACAAUGGUUCUGGACUGGAAGUCUAGUCCCAUUGAUGAAGUUCCCAAAAGAUGUCCAGGUCCUAAUCCCUGGAAUCUGUGAAUAUGUCAUCUUACACAUCAAAAGAACUUUGAAAAUGUGAUUGAGGUUAAGGACCUUGGAAUGAGGAGAUUACCUUGGAUUAUCUGGUUGGGUCCAAGCUAAUCACAUGAGUCCUUAAAGGAGAAGAACCUUUUUUAGCUGGGUCAGAGAGAGAUGUGAUGAUGAAAACAGGCUCAGGGAGAUGCACUGUAAGAAGGGCUUGACCAGUUGUUUUUGACUUUGAAGAUGGAGGGAAGGGCCAGGAGCCAAGGAAGGUGGGUGGCUUUUGGAAGGUGGAAAAAGCAAGGGAACAUUCUCUCCAGAGCCUCCAGAAAGGAGCUCAGCCCUGUUGACAUCUUUGUUUUUAUUUUUUAUUUUUAGUAGCAUUGAGGUCUCACUAUGUUGCACAGGCUGGUCUUGAACUCUUGAGCUCAAGCACUCCUCCCGCCUUGGCUUCCCAAAGUGCUGGGAUUAUAGGCAUGUGCCACCACAUCUGGCUUCCUACUGACAUCUUAACUUUAGUGCAGUGAGACUCAUAUUUGAAUUUCUGACCUUAUAUUAUAGAACCAUAAGACAUUAUAGAAUUAUAUAGAAUUAUAGAACCAUAAGACAAUAACUUUGUGUUGUUUUAAGAUACUAAAUUUUUGGUAAUUUGUUAUGGCAGCACAAUAAAACCAAUAUAGCAUUAUAUUAUGCCAAUAUCAUCUCUUUGUUGACUAUUGCUAUUAUAGUUUGUUUUAUGGGUCUUGUGUAAACAAUCAAGCUAUAAUAUUGGGUUAACUCCCUAAGGAAAACUUGGAAUAUAGAACAUUAUUUUAAAGACUGAAUUAGGUAAAUACACCUGCCAGUGAAUACAUUAACAAAUUAAUUAAUAUAUUCACUCUUUUCACUCACAAAUACUUUUUGAGCCCCUAUUACUAGCCAAACAUUUUGUUAGAUUCUGAGAAGGGUCUGCUAGACAACAUUGUGACUAUAGUUAAUAACAAUAUAUUGUACUCUUGAAAAUUACUAAGAGAGUAGAUUUUAAGUGUUCUCACCACAAAAAAUAAGUAUGUGAGGUAAUGCAGAUGUUAGUUAGCUUGAUUUAGCCAUUCCCCAGUGUAUACAUAUUUCAAACCUUCAUAUUAUACAUGGAUAAAUAUAUACAAUUUUUAUUUGUCAAUUAAAAGCCCCUCGAUGAAUACAGUUUCCAUUCUGUCCUUGAGGUGGAGCUUGUAGACUUGGUGGGGUCCGGGGAUCAACUUUUAAACAGGCAGUUCCAAAGUGUGGAGUGGAUAGGCUUAUUCUCUUUGUUGCUUUUAUGAUAGGUAUUUAGAAUGCACUUUCCUCUGUUAAGUUAAGCCAGCCACCAUUCCCUCAUUCAGUUUCCAUCCUCCAUGAAUUUGCUCACAUCUGCGGUCUACUGUCACUCAUUCUUUCCUUCUCUUCCUGAGGGCUUGUGUGACUUAUGUUCUUGGCUUUCUCUUAGGAACAUGGUGCAGCUUGGCCCUGCAUUAUCCAUCUGGAAAAACAGAUCAUAAAACAGUCCUUCUCUGUACUAAGUGCUAAAGUAGGAGGAAGGGCAUAAGUCAGCUCCCUGAGCUAUAUAUCCUUGUUUUCAGGAGCUGAGCUAGACACAAGCAGAACUUGCAAAUAAUUUACAUUUCUUUCUGCUGAGGUGGUUCAGAAUAAGUUGCAACAAACAUGAACAGGAAUGGUGCAGUAAAU
rnacentral:lncRNA from 1 species